rnacentral:tRNA from 1 species
AGUGAGUUUUUUUAAGUCUUCUAAAUUUAUAUUAGGUGUAUCCUGCUCAUUA